UACGUAGGGUGCAAGCGUUGUCCGGAAUUAUUGGGCGUAAAGAGCUCGUAGGCGGUCUGUCGCGUUGGCUGUGAAAACCCGGGGCUCAACCCCGGGCCUGCAGUCGAUACGGGCAGACUAGAGUGCGGUAGGGGAGACUGGAAUUCCUGGUGUAGCGGUGAAAUGCGCAGAUAUCAGGAGGAACACCGGUGGCGAAGGCGGGUCUCUGGGCCGAUACUGACGCUGAGGAGCGAAAGCGUGGGGAGCGAACAGG
rnacentral:rRNA from 1 species